GAUACCCGUAAAUCACCAAUGGGUCAAGCGUGGGUUGCACCAGUCGCACCGUUUGAGUCGUGGCAUCAUAGAGGCCGCCCCAUGUGGUGGCUUUUAGGACUAGCAGCAGCGCGCCCGCUCCUAAAAACAGCAAAUGGUGCCCUAAGAUCAUCCCCAAUUGCUUGGGGUCGCCCCA
rnacentral:antisense_RNA from 1 species